rnacentral:rRNA from 1 species
UGAUCCUAUGCUGCCGAGAAAAGCCUCUAGCGAGCUGGUACAUGGCCCGUACCCCAAACCGACACAGGUGGUCAGGUAGAGAAUACUAAGGCGAUCGAGAGAACUGUGGUUAAGGAACUCGGCAAAAUGCCCCCGUAACUUCGGGAGAAGGGGGACCAGUCCUGGUGACGACGUUUACUGUCUGAGCUGGGGUUGGUCGCAGAGACCAGAGAGAAGCGACUGUUUACUAAAAACACAGGUCCGUGCGAAGUCGUAAGACGAUGUAUACGGACUGACGCCUGCCCGGUGCUGGAAGGUUAAGAGGACCGGUCAGCCACUUCGGUGGCGAAGCUGAGAAUUUAAGCCCCAGUAAACGGCGGUGGUAACUAUAACCAUCCUAAGGUAGCGAAAUUCCUUGUCGGGUAAGUUCCGACCUGCACGAAUGGCGUAACGACUUCUCUGCUGUCUCAACCACAGACUCGGCGAAAUUGCAGUACGAGUAAAGAUGCUCGUUACGCGCGGCAGGACGAAAAGACCCCGGGACCUUCACUAUAGCUUGGUAUUGGUGUUCGGUUCGGUUUGUGUAGGAUAGGUGGGAGACUGUGAAACUCGCACGCCAGUGUGGGUGGAGUCAUUGUUGAAAUACCACUCUGACCGUAUUGGACAUCUAACCUCGGACCAUGAUCUGGUUCAGGGACAGUGCCUGGUGGGUAGUUUAACUGGGGCGGUUGCCUCCUAAAAAGUAACGGAGGCGCCCAAAGGUUCCCUCAGCCUGGUUGGCAAUCAGGUGUUGAGUGUAAGUGCACAAGGGAGCUUGACUGUGAGACGUACAUGUCGAGCAGGGACGAAAGUCGGGACUAGUGAUCCGGCACCGGCAAGUGGAAGCGGUGUCGCUCAACGGAUAAAAGGUACCCCGGGGAUAACAGGCUGAUCUUCCCCAAGAGUCCAUAUCGACGGGAUGGUUUUGCACCUCGAUGUCGGCUCGUCGCAUCCUGGGGCUGGAGUAGGUCCCAAGGGUUGGGCUGUUCGCCCAUUAAAGCGGCACGCGAGCUGGGUUUAGAACGUCGUGAGACAGUUCGGUCUCUAUCCGCCGCGCGCGUAAGAAACUUGAGGAAACCUGUCCCUAGUACGAGAGGACCGGGACGGACGAACCUCUGGUGUGCCAGUUGUUCCACCAGGAGCACCGCUGGUUAGCUACGUUCGGAAGGGAUAACCGCUGAAAGCAUCUAAGCGGGAAGCCUGUUCCAAGAUGAGGUUUCUCACCACCUAGCGUGGUUAAGGCCCCCCACAGACCAUGGGGUUGAUAGGCCAGAACUGUAAGCACAGCAAUGUGUUCAGGUGACUGGUACUAAUCGGCCGAGGACUU